GACGAACGCUGGCGGCGUGCUUAACACAUGCAAGUCGAACGGAAAGGCCCUGCUUUUGUGGGGUGCUCGAGUGGCGAACGGGUGAGUAACACGUGAGUAACCUGCCCUUGACUUUGGGAUAACUUCAGGAAACUGGGGCUAAUACCGGAUAGGAGCUCCUGCUGCAUGGUGGGGGUUGGAAAGUUUCGGCGGUUGGGGAUGGACUCGCGGCUUAUCAGCUUGUUGGUGGGGUAGUGGCUUACCAAGGCUUUGACGGGUAGCCGGCCUGAGAGGGUGACCGGCCACAUGGGGACUGAGAUACGGCCCAGUCUCGUACGGGAGGCAACAGUGGGGAAUAUUCCACAAUGGUAGGGCGCCAGAUGCAACAACGCCGCGUGCGGGAUGACGGCCUUCGGGUUGUAAACCGCUUUCGCCUGUGACGAAGCGUGAGUGAAGGUAAUGGGUAAAGAAGCACCGGCUAACUACGUG
rnacentral:rRNA from 1 species